ACGUAGGGCGCGAGCGUAGUCCGGAUUUAUUGGGCGUAAAGAGCUCGUAGGCGGUUUGUCGCGUCUGCCGUGAAAGUCCGGGGCUCAACUCCGGAUCUGCGGUGGGUACGGGCAGACUAGAGUGAUGUAGGGGAGACUGGAAUUCCGGGUGUAGCGGUGGAAUGCGUAGAGAUCCGGAAGAACACCAGUGGCGAAGGCGGUCUGCUGGGCGGUGGGACCGAAAGGUCUCUUGAACCGACACUGAGGCGCGACAGCGUGGGGAGCAAACAGGA
rnacentral:rRNA from 1 species